rnacentral:rRNA from 1 species
GAUGAACGCUGGCGGCGUGCCUAAUACAUGCAAGUCGAGCGAACGGACGAGAAGCUUGCUUCUCUGAUGUUAGCGGCGGACGGGUGAGUAACACGUGGAUAACCUACCUAUAAGACUUGGAUAACUUCGGGAAACCGGAGCUAAUACCGGAUAAUAUUUUGAACCGCAUGAUUCAAAAGUGAAAGACGGUUUUGCUGUCACUUAUAGAUGGAUCCGCGCUGCAUUAGCUAGUUGGUAAGGUAACGGCUUACCAAGGCAACGAUGCAUAGCUGACCUGAGAGGGUGAUCAGCCACACUGGAACUGAGACACGGUCCAGACUCCUACGGGAGGCAGCAGUAGGGAAUCUUGCGCAAUGGGCGAAAGCCUGACGGAGCAACGCCGCGUGAGUGAUGAAGGUCUUCGGAUCGUAAAACUCUGUUAUUAGGGAAGAACAUAUGUGUAAGAAACUGUGCACAUCUUGACGGUACCUAAUCAGAAAGCCACGGCUAACUACGUG